GCCCUAAUCGUAUAGUGGUUAGUACAUGUCCCUGUCGCGGACAAGGCCCGAGUUCGAUUCUCGGUUGGGGCG
rnacentral:tRNA from 1 species